GGGAGGAGGUGGGGAGAGAAAACCCAAUUCACCCCCUUCCUUUCUAAUUCUUCCUCUUGGUGUGUCUGCUCCAGCGCACGAGCUAAUCCCCCAAAUCCGGUCUCCCAGGCCGCAGCUGCUUCCCUUCGCAGUGAUGAAUGGCUCAGGGAGGGAAGAUCUCCAGUGAGGAGCCCCCAGCCUGGCCCAGGGCAUGCCCCAGUUCACUUUUGCCUGCUUCUGUGGCCUCCACGGCUUCUGCAAGAUGAAGAGAAAGAAGGAAGAUGUUCACAGAGAGCGGGAAACAGCAGUGUGAGCAGGACCAGGGCCCCUGCGGCAGCCCUCCGCCGCUCCCAGACCUCAGGCGCCCACUUCUGGCUGAAUCUUAGAGCAGGAAGUUUUGAUUUGGCUGCUGCUCUUCUCAGCUUGACCUGACUGGAUCUAACCUGAGGGCAUCCAUCUCCUGUGUGUCCGAGUCUCAUGUCCACGUCCUUGGGCUUUCAAUACCUGGACACCUCCCUGGGGAGAGGUCCCAGCCACUCCAGGGGAAGCCCAGGAUCUACCAUUUGCUUUCUAGAGACUGACAAGCUCCAGGGAGGCCACAGGAGUAAAACCCCUCCUGCUCUGAGGGCUCCAGGACUCUGCUCAGGGUAACUCCUCCCUUGAGAGACACGCUGCCUCGCUGUUGCAAAAUAGGAAACAGGCUGCUUUGCCAGAGAAGCUCCCGGCAGCCCUGACUUUGGGCGAGGCCUCAGCUAGGCGGGACCUGUUGGAGGUGGAGACGAGUCUCCCUCAAGCCCAGGAUAAUCUCUCCUGGGACCCCAGGACCUGAGGCAGGAACCUCGUAGCUGUGGGAGUUGAGCCCUUUCCUAUCCCUCUAAGCAUCCCCGUGGGCCAGGUGGGCCAGGCCUGAGGGAGGCAGGCUGGUUGUGAGUAGGGCGGCUGAAUGUGGACUGUGAGAAGCGGGUGGCAGGCUGUGUCCCCCUCUACCUGCUUUCCCCACACACCAGGGAGCAGCCGCCCCUCCAGCCCUGGCCUCUCCGACCCACUCCCUUCCUCCAUGCCGCCUGGGCAUCAGCACAGAUGUGGAGGGGCCUGUUCCCCGGGCUGUGGCUCCCCUCCUCAGGGCCAGGCUGAGGGGGGACUUAGCCCUGUCCUGGACUGAGCCAUGCCCUUCCUUUAGUCUGUCUCGUGGCCUCACCCACCUGCCUCUUCCUUCUCUUCUCAGAAGCCAUAGAGGGGAAUGCUUGCAUGUGGUUGGUGCCUUUCGGGGAAACUUGGGCGGGAAGGGAUCCCUCUAGGACCUUCCUUGACUUUUCCCCUAAUCUCCCCAACCCUAUCAACCUUUGGGGUCAGUCUCUGCCCCCACUCCCAGCCUAUUUCCAGGAGGUAGGAAGCAAACAAAACCAUUUCCUUCCUUUUCUUCCUCCUUUCCUUCCCCCAUUUUGAUAGAACAGCCUUCUGUCAUUGUGUCUAGACCCCUCAGGUGCUACAGGGUCAUGCUGAGAGCAGUGCCAGCCGCAAAGACACUUUAGCAGAUUCUGUAGCUUUAGCAAGUCUGCCCUCUAUUUCAUCACAGGAACAGGACAGCCCAGGAACAAAGUCACGCCCCCUCUAGCAUCCAGGCCAGAACUGCUUUUCUGACAGACAACAGGUGACCUGGGUAGAGGAGGUCAGAGCCCCAGGACAAAAGGAGGGGCUGUGCGCCCCUUUCCUUGGAAUGUGGGGUGCUCUGGGCAGUUAAGGAGGGCAGGAGACCUCUUCUGUUGGUUCAUCCAGAACCUGGGAGAAGCAAGGGCAUAUUCUAUCCUGGCAGCCUUUGCCUGUCCAGCUCAUGCUUCACGCUCAGGGCAUUUCCUGGGCGUCUGGCAGAUUUGGUGGGAUCCAGGUCAUCUUUCUGAAGUUGGAGCACAGCUUCAGGUUUCUGUCCUCCCGUCCUUUGCCCUACCCUUCAGCCCCAGCCUUCUACAAUCUGUUAUUUCUUUUUAUAUUUAAAGAAUUAUAAAUAGAAAUCGUUCCCUCAAGGAAACAGCAAUAAAGGAAAGUGGGGUCA